rnacentral:snRNA from 1 species
UAAUUUGCGCAGUGGCAGUAUCGUAGCCAAUGAGGUUUACCCAAGGUGCGAUUAUUGCUAAUUGAAAAUAAUAAUUUAGCCAAAAUUCCCAAACACAGGGGUUUUAAAUAUCAAUUCAUAUUC